ACUCUAUUACCUCCGUCCCAAAUUAGUUGUCUUAGAUUUGUCUAGGCACGUAUGUAUCUCAUCUAACACUAAAACAUGUCUAUCUAGACAAGUCUGAGUCAACUAAUUUGGGACGGAGGGAGUAAAUG
rnacentral:pre_miRNA from 1 species